UACGUAGGUGGCGAGCGUUGUCCGGAUUUACUGGGCGUAAAGGGAGCGUAGGCGGACUUUUAAGUGAGAUGUGAAAUACUCGGGCUCAACUUGAGUGCUGCAUUUCAAACUGGAAGUCUAGAGUGCAGGAGAGGAGAAUGGAAUUCCUAGUGUAGCGGUGAAAUGCGUAGAGAUAUGGAGGAACACCAGUGGCGAAGGCGGCUUCCUGGUCUGCAACUGACACUGAGGCGCGAAAGCGUGGGGAGCAAACAGG
rnacentral:rRNA from 2 species